GUAGUUUGUUUUUAAGUGUGAAUUAAUUAUUCACAUUUUGAUGUAAUCGAAAAGAGAGAUUAGUUAAGUUGCCGACAAAUCAAAUGAUUACUCAAAGUAAUGUUUUUGUUUUUUUUAACUCUCAAAAGUAAUGUUUAAUCCGAAAACGGACGAAAUUCAUCGUCUCUUCAAGACGUUGACGUAUCGAGAGUUCCCUCCAGGUUAGGGAGAUUUCUCGCAAAUCUGAAACUCGUUGUGCAUAACUGUGACUGGGCCAUGACAUGAAGUUUACUUUUUGGAAUUUCAAAUGUAAAGAAACUUUGAUAAUAUAUCCAAGUCAAUGAAUUGUAAAUCAAAACGAACACCAAAACCUAUAAUAAAUAAUAAUUUUAAGAUGACAUUGAUUGUUUGUUUGUUUUACAUUUAGUGUAUACAAAUACUUUUUCUAAUGAAACACAACUUUUAGUAUCUAUAUAUAAUAAGCAAACCUGUUCUUGUUUUCGUAUGACAUCAUUUUUUAUACGAAAAAAAAAUCUGAUCCAAUGAUUAGAAUUCUCUCGUCCCUAUCUCUCCCUUCAACCGUUCAGCUCUGCAACUCCGAUGACCUGCGCGUGGUGGCUCCGUUAGCGCCACCGCCGGUCCCUUUAGCUUUAUUUUGAUUGUCUUUAGUAGAUCUCGUGUUUAGAUUAUGUUAGGGUGGGUUUCUAGUUAGGUAGAGGGCUUUGGUUCGAGGAGCUUGUAUCGGGUCACGAUUUUCAUGGAGGUCGUGUGGCUAGUUGGUUGGGUCCGCCGCCGGUUCAUGGUGGUCCCUUAUCGAAUCGUGUCUCGGAUUCCUUCGUGCUUGUUUGGGUUGGUUAAUCGGAUGGUCUUGUAGCGUCAUGGUCUUGGCGGGGGUUUUGGAGUUGAUUGCUGGUGUUGGUCUUUCCGAUUGGUGUGUGUUGUAUCUUUAGCAACGGGUUUGUUUUGGCGGGGCCAAAUGUUCCGGCUUUAGUUUCUAUAACAGAUUUCUUGUUGGUUUGGCCUGGUCUUGUUCCUGUGCUCGGCUUUUUUUCUUAUCCGUAUCAAGGUCGCCAUGCUAGGAGUUGGUUCAAGUCUGGUUCGUGGUUCGUCUUUUGUAUGUGGUCUUGUUGCGGGAGCAUCUACUCUCUCUUCCUAGAAGCUGUGUGUUUCUAGUGGGGUUAUUAGCGUCGCAGUGGGUCCGUUCUUCAGUUCUUCUCUUGCGAGGAGGUGGCCAUUCUUCAGUCGGUAGAUGGCUGAGUUUGGGAUGCGAGGGUCCGCGUGUAAGAAUUGGAGGUCUUGGAAGGCGUUUUCCCGGUCAGAGUUAAAGGUUUUUAUCUUGUGCUUGAGCUUGUUUUCGGUUUUGGCUCCUCUUGGUAAUGGUCGUGGUGAAGUUUCUGCCUUUGUUCUGUGUUAUGUUACAACUAUCUCGGCCGUUUAGAGUCUGGUGGGGUUCUUGGUGAUCACGCUUCGCUUUGUAGCUGUGUGGUUAUACUCGAGCUCUUGUCUUUCAGCUCUGUUGGCGAUGUGCAGAUGGUUUAUUUGAGUAUUAUGGAUUUGGAGACCCUCUAGUGAUUAGUCUCAAGUUGGUAUGAAUGUUGUUAUUUUGUUUCUCUAGAUAGUCUGGUUCCCAUAAAUCUCUUGGGUAUAGGUUCCCGUAAAUCAUUCGGGCUUUGUUUGCCUGAAUAUGGCAUUAUGUUUGUAAGUUUCGUUUCAGAACUCUGUUUAAUCAAAUUCCACUUGUGACGGAAAAAAAAAAGAUUAGAAUUCUCUUUAUUUUAUGAUUUAAUUGACAUUAAACAUUUUUGUUAUGAAUGAUGAAGUCAUCAAUGUUUUGGCAACUCUUCUUUCAACAGUCAUUUAUUUUAAACAACACAACUUUUUAAAAGACACAAUCAUAAAAUAAAUUAAUAUCCAAUGAUGGAGUUUACCCUGAAAUUACAAUCCAAUGGAUACAAUUUUGUUUAAGAUGAAGAGUAUGACAUCAUCAAGUCACUUUAGCAUACGACGCUCUUCAGAGGCGUCCCCUAAAUAAAUUGAUCCACAAUUCAGAACAACUAUAUCAUUUGCUGAUGAUCCAUAAUUUAAACUCAGAUUAAGGUUAUGUUGGAUCCACGAAUCAGAACCACUCAACCAUUCGCUCUUCUUAUCGUGAAGGAGUUAGAGCAGGUAUAUGUCUUCAAGAUAACAAUUCUGAUACGUGAAGGUGGAAAUACUAACAAUCAGAUAAUAUAUCAGCCGCAUCCCCAGAGUGGGCUCCUUCUCCGGCGUGUUCCCGACCACGGCUCCUCUCUCUGAUAGAGUGAUAGGUGGCAUCUCAUCUUCACAGCUUCUGCUUAGAAGUCCCACAUGAUCAUUUGCAGCCGAGCAAGAGGAGGGAGAUACAUGAAUCAAUAUGUUUUCUUCUCACCGAACAUUUGGGUUUGAACUUGCGCUUUGGGACCAGAUUCUGUCGGGAAAGUGGCUCUUUCCUUUUGUAUCGUCUGUACAUGCGAGAAAAUCGUUCGUAGUGGUAAUAAUUAUGUAAUGUUCACUAAGACUCAAGAUUUCCAUGGAAAAUUAUACAAGGCGCUCUUCCCCUAGGCUAUAAUCUCCCAAAACAAGGGAUUUUCCUUGACACGCAGAUGCAACGAACACUGGACAACUCUCCAAUUCCUCUUUCAUUGUGAAAUGGCUAAAAAAGGUUUCUAGUACUUUGCUGAUGAGACAAUGCCCUAACGUACAUAAUCUAGCCUCUUUUGAACAAGCCUUUGAUGCUUUUAAAGGUGUUACCUAUCUACCACCAUUGGGAAUCUCGGUUGACUUGUUCCCGUGGAUAUGCUGGAAUUUUGGGAUGGUAAGAAAAAUAGUCUUAUUCAAGAUCCUAUGCCUUUCCAUUCGAAGUACUAGAGAAUGGCAUAGGCACAGCCGCACAGUCAUCUUUAUCACCUCCAUGCAAAUCCCGCCUUAAACAGAAUCCUAUACUUACUGCUUUUAAUUGUUUAACGCGUUAAACAGAUGCAGUGUGGAACCAAUGUAGUAAAGCUGCAGGUUGUGGAUGGCUGUUUCAGAAUUCCAAUGGUUUCUAUAUUGGACAAAGAUUGUGCCUAGAGCAGCAUGUCGUUUCCCCCUUCCAAGCAAAGGCUUUAGCAGUCUUCUCAGCCAUGUACAACCCAAAGGACUUCCUUCGGCUGAGAUCUAUGAAAAAUAUGUAUCAAAUCAAAUUGUCAAAUGCUUAUUAAAGCAAUUAACUCGAAGCUUCCUUCGGCUGAGAUCUUCGAAAUCUUCUGGGACAUCGAGUCUCUAUCUUGUUUAUUUUUGUAUGUGCCUUUCGUUACGACUAGAAAGACACUACGUAAUGCUUCCUUUGUAUCUAUCAUCUAGUGCUGAUAGCUUUGAAUUAAUAUGUUUUAUGUUAAAAAUGUAACAUUAAUCUACUAAUAAUAGCAAUCCCAU